AUCGCUUCUUGGCCUUUGGGCUAAGAUCAAGUGUAGUAUCUGUUCUUAUCAGUUUAAUAUCUGAUACGUUCUUUAUCCGAGGACAAUAUGUUAAAUGGAUUUUUGGAAGUCAGAGUUGGAAUAGGAGCUUGAUUCGUCCACUCCACGCAUCGACCUGGUAUUGUAGUACCUCCAGGAAUGGUGCACCCCUU
rnacentral:snRNA from 1 species